UUUAAACACAGUCAUAAGUUUCUCUGUGUCUAACUUUGAUCAUCGUCGUAUUUAAAUUUUUUUAUGAUUAGUAUGUUUACUGUUAUUAAAUGAUAAAAAAUAAAUAUUACUUUAUGCGUAACUUAUAUUUUUUUAUUUUUUAAAAAAAAAUUAAAUAAAACAAACGAUUAAAGUUGGACACAGAAACUGGUUGUGUCUUAAA
rnacentral:pre_miRNA from 1 species